CUUGGUCAUUUAGAGGAGUAAAAGUCGUAACAAGGGUCUCCGUUGGUGAACCAGCGGAGGGAUCAUUACCGAGUUUACAACUCCCAAACCCCUGUGAACAUACCUUACUGUUGCCUCGGCGGAUCAGCCCGCGCCCGGUAAAACGGGACGGCCCGCCAGAGGACCCCUAAACUCUGUUUUUAUUGUAACUUCUGAGUAAAACCAUAAAUAAAUCAAAACUUUCAACAACGGAUCUCUUGGUUCUGGCAUCGAUGAAGAACGCAGCAAAAUGCGAUAAGUAAUGUGAAUUGCAGAAUUCAGUGAAUCAUCGAAUCUUUGAACGCACAUUGCGCCCGCCAGUAUUCUGGCGGGCAUGCCUGUUCGAGCGUCAUUUCAACCCUCAAGCCCUCGGGUUUGGUGUUUGGGGAAUCGGCGAGCCUUAUGGCAAGCCGGCCCCGAAAUCUAGUGGGCGGUCUCACUUGCAGCCUCCAUUUGCGUAGUAGCUAACACCUCGCAACUGGAACGCGGUGCGGCCAAGCCGUUAAACCCCCAACUUCUGAAUGUUGACCUCGGAUCAGGUAGGAAUACCCGCUGAACUUAAGCAUAUCAAUAAGCGGAGGA
rnacentral:rRNA from 1 species